CACUAUCGUUAACUGAAUACAUAGGUUAACGAGGCGAACCGGGGGAACUGAAACAUCUAAGUACCCCGAGGAAAAGAAAUCAACCGAGAUUCCCCCAGUAGCGGCGAGCGAACGGGGAGCAGCCCAGAGUCUGAAUCAGCUUGUGUGUUAGUGGAACGGUCUGGAAAGUCCGACGGUACAGGGUGAUAGUCCCGUACACCAAAAUGCACAGGCUGUGAACUCGAAGAGUAGGGCGGGACACGUGGUAUCCUGUCUGAAUAUGGGGGGACCAUCCUCCAAGGCUAAAUACUCCUGACUGACCGAUAGUGAACCAGUACCGUGAGGGAAAGGCGAAAAGAACCCCGGCGAGGGGAGUGAAAAAGAACCUGAAACCGUGUACGUACAAGCAGUGGGAGCACCUUCGGGUGUGACUGCGUACCUUUUGUAUAAUGGGUCAGCGACUUAUAUUCUGUAGCAAGGUUAACCGUAUAGGGGAGCCGCAGGGAAACCGAGUCUUAACUGGGCGUUAAGUUGCAGGGUAUAGACCCGAAACCCGGUGAUCUAGCCAUGGGCAGGUUGAAGGUUGGGUAACACUAACUGGAGGACCGAACCGACUAAUGUUGAAAAAUUAGCGGAUGACUUGUGGCUGGGGGUGAAAGGCCAAUCAAACCGGGAGAUAGCUGGUUCUCCCCGAAAGCUAUUUAGGUAGCGCCUCGUGAAUUCAUCUUCGGGGGUAGAGCACUGUUUCGGCUAGGGGGUCAUCCCGACUUACCAACCCGAUGCAAACUACGAAUACCGAAGAAUGUUAUCACGGGAGACACACGGCGGGUGCUAACGUCCGUCGUGAAGAGGGAAACAACCCAGACCGCCAGCUAAGGUCCCAAAGUCAUGGUUAAGUGGGAAACGAUGUGGGAAGGCACAGACAGCCAGGAUGUUGGCUUAGAAGCAGCCAUCAUUUAAAGAAAGCGUAAUAGCUCACUGGUCGAGUCGGCCUGCGCGGAAGAUGUAACGGGGCUAAACCAUGCACCGAAGCUGCGGCAGCGACACUAUGUGUUGUUGGGUAGGGGAGCGUUCUGUAAGCCUGCGAAGGUGUGCUGUGAGGCAUGCUGGAGGUAUCAGAAGUGCGAAUGCUGACAUAAGUAACGAUAAAGCGGGUGAAAAGCCCGCUCGCCGGAAGACCAAGGGUUCCUGUCCAACGUUAAUCGGGGCAGGGUGAGUCGACCCCUAAGGCGAGGCCGAAAGGCGUAGUCGAUGGGAAACAGGUUAAUAUUCCUGUACUUGGUGUUACUGCGAAGGGGGGACGGAGAAGGCUAUGUUAGCCGGGCGACGGUUGUCCCGGUUUAAGCAUGUAGGCUGGUUGUCCAGGCAAAUCCGGAUAAUCAAGGCUGAGGUGUGAUGACGAGGCACUACGGUGCUGAAGUAACAAAUGCCCUGCUUCCAGGAAAAGCCUCUAAGCAUCAGGUAACAUCAAAUCGUACCCCAAACCGACACAGGUGGUCAGGUAGAGAAUACCAAGGCGCUUGAGAGAACUCGGGUGAAGGAACUAGGCAAAAUGGUGCCGUAACUUCGGGAGAAGGCACGCUGGUGUGUAGGUGAAGCCCCUGCGGGUGGAGCUGAGACCAGUCGAAGAUACCAGCUGGCUGCAACUGUUUAUUAAAAACACAGCACUGUGCAAACACGAAAGUGGACGUAUACGGUGUGACGCCUGCCCGGUGCCGGAAGGUUAAUUGAUGGGGUUAUCCGUAAGGAGAAGCUCUUGAUCGAAGCCCCGGUAAACGGCGGCCGUAACUAUAACGGUCCUAAGGUAGCGAAAUUCCUUGUCGGGUAAGUUCCGACCUGCACGAAUGGCGUAAUGAUGGCCAGGCUGUCUCCACCCGAGACUCAGUGAAAUUGAACUCGCUGUGAAGAUGCAGUGUACCCGCGGCAAGACGGAAAGACCCCGUGAACCUUUACUAUAGCUUGACACUGAACAUUGAGCCUUGAUGUGUAGGAUAGGUGGGAGGCUUUGAAGCGUGGACGCCAGUCUGCGUGGAGCCAACCUUGAAAUACCACCCUUUAAUGUUUGAUGUUCUAACGUUGGCCCCUUACCGGGGUUGCGGACAGUGUCUGGUGGGUAGUUUGACUGGGGCGGUCUCCUCCCAAAGCGUAACGGAGGAGCACGAAGGUUAGCUAAUCCUGGUCGGACAUCAGGAGGUUAGUGCAAUGGCAUAAGCUAGCUUGACUGCGAGCGUGACGGCGCGAGCAGGUGCGAAAGCAGGUCAUAGUGAUCCGGUGGUUCUGAAUGGAAGGGCCAUCGCUCAACGGAUAAAAGGUACUCCGGGGAUAACAGGCUGAUACCGCCCAAGAGUUCAUAUCGACGGCGGUGUUUGGCACCUCGAUGUCGGCUCAUCACAUCCUGGGGCUGAAGUAGGUCCCAAGGGUAUGGCUGUUCGCCAUUUAAAGUGGUACGCGAGCUGGGUUUAGAACGUCGUGAGACAGUUCGGUCCCUAUCUGCCGUGGGCGCUGGAGAAUUGAGGGGGGCUGCUCCUAGUACGAGAGGACCGGAGUGGACGCAUCACUGGUGUUCGGGUUGUCAUGCCAAUGGCACUGCCCGGUAGCUAAAUGCGGAAGAGAUAAGUGCUGAAAGCAUCUAAGCACGAAACUUGCCCCGAGAUGAGUUCUCCCUGAGACUUUAAGUCUCCUGAAGGAACGUUAAAGACGAUGACGUUGAUAGGCCGGGUGUGUAAGCGCAGCGAUGCGUUGAGCUAACCGGUACUAAUGAACCGUGAGGCUUAACCUU
rnacentral:rRNA from 1 species